rnacentral:misc_RNA from 1 species
GAUGAAGAACGUAGUGAAAUGCGAUAAGUAAUGUGAAUUGCAGAAUUCAGUGAAUCAUCGAGUCUUUGAACGCACAUUGCGCCCCCUGGUAUUCCGGGGGGCAUGCCUGCCCGAGCGUCAUUGCUGCCCUCAAGCACGGCUUGUGUGUUGGGCCGUCGUCCCCCUCCUAGGGGACGGGCCCGAAAGGCAGCGGCGGCACCGCGUCCGGUCCUCGAGCGUAUGGGGCUUCGUCACCCGCUCCGUAGGCCCGGCCGGCGCUUGCCGACGACCAUCAAUCUCUUUCUCCAGGUUGACCUCGGAUCAGGUAGGGAUACCCGCUGAACUUAAGCAUAUCAAUAAGCGGAGGA